rnacentral:misc_RNA from 1 species
AUAAAUCAAGAAAGCCGAAAAAAGUGCACUAAAAAACACUCGCCAUAAAUAAACUUUUUUUUUUUUUCAAAAUUUAGUGCCGAAAAAAGAAAAAACAAAAACCAAAACCAACACCAACAAAGUGUAAGCUGAGUGUCACUGUGAAGUUUUUUUAAAGCAAAACCAUAUCAACGGUCCGGUGACUAAAGCUCUGUCCUGUCUCCGCCCAACAAAGAUCUAUUACCCGCCACGCCUACACCCACACACUCACACACACACACACACACCGACACACACACGGACACACGCACCCGCCUCGAAGAACUGGAGACGCACACCAACGAACUGGACACAGGACGUUAUACACUACACACACAAGCACACACACAUACAUACACCACACACACACACACAUACACACCACUCACACAACACAAUGUAAACCAAAUGGCUUUGGUUUUUUUCAAUAAAAUUUUUUAUUCAAUUUAUAUUUCUUAGAGAUUUUCCAA